UGAGCCCAGAAGAAAAGAGAGACUGAGAGAGAGGAGGGUGGAUCAGGGACGGGAGCUGGAGCUGGAGGUGUCUGAGAGCCGGACACGGGAAAGGGAGGAAGAAGUGGCCGCCAGAAACCUGAGAGAGACACGGGAGAGACGAGAGCGAGAAAUUCGUGACCUUGAUGAUGAUGGAAGAAGACAGAGAGAAUCAGUGAGGUACGAGAGGGAGAGAGAGAUCUCAGUGGCAGCAGCAGAAGACAGGAGAAGAGAGAUCUCAGUGGCAGCAGCAGAAGCCGAUGUCAGAGUGCGCCGUGAGAUCCAGGAACGAGGUGAGGAGCUGAGAAGGAAAGAACGUCCCCGUGAGGGUGAGGAGGAAGCAGAGCCAGGGAGGAGAAUCUCCCGGGUCAGAGAGAGGGAAGAGGCCCUGAGGGAGAGGAGAAUCGACCGGGAGCGGGAGCUGGAGCUGGAGCUGGAGCUGGAGGCCUCUGAGCGCCGCAGCCGCCAGCCACGGGCCAGGGCGGCCCAAGUGACCAUCACUGACCAGAGGGAGGCACGUGAGGAG
rnacentral:lncRNA from 1 species